rnacentral:piRNA from 1 species
AGAUUUUUCAUCUGAGGAGCCAUUCC